rnacentral:miRNA from 1 species
GGGGAUCAACGAAAAGGGGAUC